AUUGAACGCUGGCGGCAUGCUUUACACAUGCAAGUCGAACGGCAGCGCGGGCUUCGGCCUGGCGGCGAGUGGCGAACGGGUGAGUAAUACAUCGGAACGUGCCCAGUCGUGGGGGAUAGCUCGGCGAAAGCAGGAUUAAUACCGCAUACGACCUGAGGGUGAAAGCGGGGGAUCUUCGGACCUCGCGCUAUUGGAGCGGCCGAUGGCAGAUUAGCUAGUUGGUGGGGUAAAGGCCUACCAAGGCGACGAUCUGUAGCUGGUCUGAGAGGACGACCAGCCACACUGGGACUGAGACACGGCCCAGACUCCUACGGGAGGCAGCAGUGGGGAAUUUUGGACAAUGGGCGAAAGCCUGAUCCAGCAAUGCCGCGUGUGUGAUGAAGGCCUUCGGGUUGUAAAGCACUUUUGGCGGGAACGAAAAGGACUGUGCCAAUACCACGGUUCGAUGACGGUACCCGCAGAAUAAGCACCGGCUAACUACGUG
rnacentral:rRNA from 1 species